GUGGAUUAGAUACCCGGGUAGUCCACGCCGUAAACUAUGAGAGCUAGCCGUUGGGAGAUUUAUCUCUCAGUGGCGCAGCUAACGCAUUAAGCUCUCCGCCUGGGGAGUACGGUCGCAAGAUUAAAACUCAAAGGAAUUGACGGGGGCCCGCACAAGCAGUGGAGCAUGUGGUUUAAUUCGAAGCAACGCGAAGAACCUUACCAGCCCUUGACAUGGUCGGACGAUUUCCGGAGACGGAUCUCUUCACUUCGGUGACCGAUACACAGGUGCUGCACGGUUGUCGACAACU
rnacentral:rRNA from 1 species